CGGGGAAUAUUGGACAAUGGGCGAAAGCCUGAUCCAGCCAUGCCGCGUGUGUGAAGAAGGUCUUCGGAUUGUAAAGCACUUUAAGUUGGGAGGAAGGGCAGUAAGCGAAUACCUUGCUGUUUUGACGUUACCGACAGAAUAAGCACCGGCUAACUCUGUGCCAGCAGCCGCGGUAAUACAGAGGGUGCAAGCGUUAAUCGGAAUUACUGGGCGUAAAGCGCGCGUAGGUGGUUCGUUAAGUUGAAUGUGAAAGCCCCGGGCUCAACCUGGGAACUGCAUCCAAAACCGGCGAGCUAGAGUAGGGCAGAGGGUGGUGGAAUUUCCUGUGUAGCGGUGAAAUGCGUAGAUAUAGGAAGGAACACCAGUGGCGAAGGCGACCACCUGGGCUCAUACUGACACUGAGGUGCGAAAGCGUGGGGAGCAAACAGG
rnacentral:rRNA from 1 species